rnacentral:rRNA from 1 species
UACAGAGGGGGCAAGCGUUGUUCGGAAUUACUGGGCGUAAAGGGCGCGUAGGCGGCCUUCUAAGUCGAACGUGAAAUCCCCGGGCUCAACCGGGAACUGCGUCCGAUACUGGAAGGCUUGAAUCCGGGAGAGGGAUGUGGAAUUCCAGGUGUAGCGGUGAAAUGCGUAGAUAUCUGGAGGAACACCGGUGGCGAAGGCGGCGACCUGGUCCGAUACUGACGCUGAGGCGCGAAAGCGUGGGGAGCAAACAGG